rnacentral:rRNA from 1 species
UUGGGAAGAAGUUUGAUCCCUGGCUCAGGAUGAACGCUAGCGGCAGGCCUAACACAUGCAAGUCGAGGGGUAUAGAGAGCUUGCUUUCUAGAGACCGGCGGAUGGGUGAGUAACGCGUAUGCAACCUACCUUUUACAGGGGAAUAGCCCGGAGAAAUUCGGAUUAAUGCUCCAUGGUUUAUAUGAAUGGCAUCGUUUGUAUAAUAAAGAUUUAUCGGUAAAAGAUGGGCAUGCGUAUCAUUAGCUAGUUGGUGUGGUAACGGCAUACCAAGGCUACGAUGAUUAGGGGUCCUGAGAGGGAGAUCCCCCACACUGGUACUGAGACACGGACCAGACUCCUACGGGAGGCAGCAGUGAGGAAUAUUGGUCAAUGGAGGCAACUCUGAACCAGCCAUGCCGCGUGCAGGAUGACGGUCCUAUGGAUUGUAAACUGCUUUUGUACGGGAAGAAAUGUAAUUACGUGUAAUUAUUUGACGG